UAAAGAGAUAGAUAUGGAUUAGCGAUAGAAUAGUGGAGUCGGAUGUCAUUAGCCACUGUUGCCAUGAAACAAACUGAAUGCUCCACUACAAAACUUUCCACCAAGGAAGAAAAUGUUGGAGAAAAUGCAAGAAAGAGUAGAAGUUGAGGAGGUUGUGGAAGAAUUUGAGUUGUUAACGAAGAGAGUUCAGAGGGAAACGCUGAAGAAAAUCUUGGAGCAAAAUGGUGCAACUGAGUAUCUGUCUCAAUGGGAUCUCAACGGAAGAACUGAUCCAGACACCUACAAGGCUUGUGUCCCCGUCGUCACACAUACCGAUAUCGAGCCCUAUAUUCGACGGAUCGCUGAUGCCGGAAUCCUCCAUAACUCAUCCAUCAUCACCGUCCAACCCAUCCCCGCCAGUUUGUAUUUUGUUCAUGGCUCAAUCUGUUUGGAAUACUUCUUUUUAUUUGCCGAAGUACUAUAUUUGUCCACCAAAAAUAUUUUUAAUAUGAGAAAUAAAAUUAAUAAAUUAAGAGAAA